GCUUACGGCCAAACCACCCUCAGCACGCUAGAUCUAGUCUGAUCACGGAAGCUAACCAGGGUCGGGCCUGGUUAGUACUUGGAUGGGAGACUGCCUAGGAAUUCCAGGUGCUGUAAGCU
rnacentral:rRNA from 1 species